GCUCUAGCCUAUUUUUAGACCUGGUCUGCUUCAGUUUCACUCCAAGCAGACUAGACCUACAAUUAGCCUUGAGC
ensembl:miRNA